rnacentral:snRNA from 1 species
GUGCUUGCUUCGGCAGCACAUACACUAAAAUUGGAACGAUACAACAUACACUAAAAUUGGAACGAUACAGAGAUUAGCAUGGCCCCUGUGCAAGGAGAAUGAAUCUUCCAUAAUGUUCAGCAAAAGAAG